CCUGGUUGAUCCUGCCAGUAGUCAUAUGCUUGUCUCAAAGACUAAGCCAUGCAAGUCUAAGUACAUGCUUUUACAAAGUGAAACCGCGAAUGGCUCAUUAAAUCAGUUAUGGUUCCUUAGAUCGUACUAUCCUACUUGGAUAACUGUGGUAAUUCUAGAGCUAAUACAUGCAGCAGAACUCAGACCUUACGGGACGAGUGCUUUUAUUAGACCAAGACCAAUCGGGCUUCGGCUCGACACCCAUGGCGACUCUGGAUAACUUUGGGCUGAUCGCACGAUCUUGUAUCGGCGACGUUUCUUUUUAAGUGUCUGCCUUAUCAACUGUCGAUGGUAGGUUAUGCGCCUACCAUGGUCGUAACGGGUGACGGGGAAUCAGGGUUCGAUUCCGGAGAGGGAGCCUGAGAAACGGCUACCACAUCCAAGGAAGGCAGCAGGCGCGCAAAUUACCCACUCCCGGCAAGGGGAGGUAGUGACGAAAAAUAAAGAUGCGGGACUCUUUUGAGGCCCCGCAAUCGGAAUGAAAUUCCAAGCUCCAAUAGCGUAUAUUAAAGUUGUUGCGGUUAAAAAAGCUCGUAGUUGGAUCUCAGUUCGAGACUGGCGGUCCGCCGUUCGGUGGUUACUGCCAGGACUCAACAUCCUGCCGGUUUUCCCCUGGUGCUCUUCACUGAGUGUCUCGGGUGCCCGGCACGUUUACUUUGAAAAAAUUAGAGUGCUCAAAGCAGGCGUUUAGCCUGAAUAAUGGUGCAUGGAAUAAUGUAAUAGGAUCUCGGUUCUAUUGUGUUGGUUUUCGGAACACGAGGUAAUGAUUAAAAGGGACAGACGGGGGCAUUCGUAUUGCGACGCUAGAGGUGAAAUUCUUGGACCGUCGCAAGACGAACUACUGCGAAAGCAUUUGCCAAGCAUGUUUUCAUCAAUCAAGAACGAAAGUUAGAGGUUCGAAGGCGAUCAGAUACCGCCCUAGUUCUAACCAUAAACGAUGCCAACCAGCAAUCAGCCUGAGUUCCUCAAAUGACUCGGCUGGCGGCUUCCGGGAAACCAAAGUUUAUGGGUUCCGGGGGAAGUAUGGUUGCAAAGCUGAAACUUAAAGGAAUUGACGGAAGGGCACCACCAGGAGUGGAGCCUGCGGCUUAAUUUGACUCAACACGGGAAAACUUACCCGGCCCGGACACCGGAAGGAUUGACAGAUUAAGAGCUCUUUCUUGAUUCGGUGGGUGGUGGUGCAUGGCCGUUCUUAGUUGGUGGAGCGAUUUGUCUGGUUAAUUCCGAUAACGAACGAGACUCUAGCCUACUUAAUAGAGAACCGAUUUCCUCUCGUCGGUUACUCUUCUUAGAGGGACAAGCGGCGUUUAGCCGCCCGAGACAGAGCAAUAACAGGUCUGUGAUGCCCUUAGAUGUCCGGGGCCGCACGCGCGCUACACUGAAGGAAUCAGCUUGUGUUCACCCUGGCCGAAAGGUCUGGGUAACCCGUUGAACCUCCUUCGUGAUAGGGAUAGGGGCUUGUAACUAUUCCCCUUGAACGAGGAAUUCCCAGUAAGCGCGAGUCAUAAGCUCGCGUUGAUUACGUCCCUGCCCUUUGUACACACCGCCCGUCGCUACUACCGAUUGAAUGAUUUAGUGAGGUCUUCGGACUGGUGCUCGGAGCGGCUCUCGGGUCGCCCCGGCGCACCGAAAAGAUGACCAAACUUGAUCAUUUAGAGGAAGUAAAAGUCGUAACAAGGUUUCCGUAGGUGAACCUGCGGAA
rnacentral:rRNA from 1 species